AUUGAACGCUGGCGGCAGGCCUAACACAUGCAAGUCGAGCGGCAGCGGAAAGUAGCUUGCUACUUUGCCGGCGAGCGGCGGACGGGUGAGUAAUGUCUGGGAAACUGCCUGAUGGAGGGGGAUAACUACUGGAAACGGUAGCUAAUACCGCAUGACCUCGAAAGAGCAAAGUGGGGGAUCUUCGGACCUCACGCCAUCGGAUGUGCCCAGAUGGGAUUAGCUAGUAGGUGAGGUAAUGGCUCACCUAGGCGACGAUCCCUAGCUGGUCUGAGAGGAUGACCAGCCACACUGGAACUGAGACACGGUCCAGACUCCUACGGGAGGCAGCAGUGGGGAAUAUUGCACAAUGGGCGCAAGCCUGAUGCAGCCAUGCCGCGUGUGUGAAGAAGGCCUUAGGGUUGUAAAGCACUUUCAGCGAGGAGGAAGGCACCAUACUUAAUACGUGUGGUGAUUGACGUUACUCGCAGAAGAAGCACCGGCUAACUCCGUGCCAGCAGCCGCGGUAAUACGGAGGGUGCAAGCGUUAAUCGGAAUUACUGGGCGUAAAGCGCACGCAGGCGGUUUGUUAAGUCAGAUGUGAAAUCCCCCGCGCUUUAACGUGGGAACUGCAUUUGAAACUGGCAAGCUAGAGUCUUGUAGAGGGGGGUAGUAUUCCAGGUGCUGUGUUGCAAAG
rnacentral:rRNA from 1 species